AAGAUCCUAGCUUAAUUAAAGCAUUUGAGUUGCAUUCAGAUGAUGCAGGGUAAUGUCCUGCGGGUCUUA
rnacentral:tRNA from 2 species